UGCGCAGGCGGUUUUGUAAGACAGGCGUGAAAUCCCCGGGCUCAACCUGGGAAUUGCGCUUGUGACUGCAAGGCUGGAGUGCGGCAGAGGGGGAUGGAAUUCCGCGUGUAGCAGUGAAAUGCGUAGAUAUGCGGAGGAACACCGAUGGCGAAGGCAAUCCCCUGGGCCUGCACUGACGCUCAUGCACGAAAGCUGGGAGCAAACA
rnacentral:rRNA from 1 species